CCCUUAGAUGUUCUGGGCCGCACACGCGCUACACUGAAGGAGGCAGCGUGUACUCCUGGAUCGAAAGAUUUGGGUAACCCGCGAAUCUCCUUCGUGCUAGGGAUUGAGGUUUGCAAUUAUCCUUCAUGAACGAGGAAUUCCCAGUAAGUGCAAGUCAUAAGCUUGCGCUGACUACGUCCCUGCCCUUUGUACACACCGCCCGUCGCUACUACCGAUUGAAUGAUUUAGUGAGGACUUCGGACUGGGACCGAUGCGACUUUCGGGCUGCGUCGGUAUUCUGGAAAGAUGUCCAAACUGUAUCAUUUAGAGGAAGUAAAANUCGUAACA
rnacentral:rRNA from 1 species